UACGUAGGGUGCAAGCGUUAAUCGGAAUUACUGGGCGUAAGCGUGCGCAGGCGGUGAUGUAAGACAGAUGUGAAAUCCCCGGGCUCAACCUGGGAACUGCAUUUGUGACUGCAUAGCUAGAGUACGGUAGAGGGGGAUGGAAUUCCGCGUGUAGCAGUGAAAUGCGUAGAUAUGCGGAGGAACACCGAUGGCGAAGGCAAUCCCCUGGACCUGUACUGACGCUCAUGCACGAAAGCGUGGGGAGCAAACAGG
rnacentral:rRNA from 1 species